rnacentral:lncRNA from 10 species
UGCAAGAUGAAAGGCAAGUGAAUUGAAGAGAAUCAUGAGUCAUGGGCAAAGUCAUUUGCUGUCAUGCUUGGAAGGAGUAGAACCAAGUGUUUAUGAGCAUGGACUUUGGAGUCAGGAUACUCUCCUGAUAUACCACGAUGCAGAAUGUCAAGUAGGAAAAGAAGCUGUUGCAUUGGGCAAUUAAGAAGUCAUUGGUGAGAGAAGUUUCAGUCUGAAGUGGAAUCAUAGUAAAUUACAGAAAAAUAGUCUUUGGAGAGAGAAGGAAUCUGGUUAAUCCACAGGCCACACAAUCAUGGUUGAAAAUUAGUGAAUGAGCGAAUGAUGGAUCCAUCUCUUGAAGCAAUACUUGAAUCGCAGAAUUCUUAUAUUGAUAGAAGCAGAAGGAAACCAGAAGUGCUCCAAUUAAAGGCCUCCAUUUUUCAGAUCAGCAGACUAUGAGCCAUGCAUAGGAUCACACACAGCUCUUUUAAAAAUUAUGAGCCACUCAGCCUCGGCCUCCGGAGGUGCCGGGAUUGCAGACGGUGUCUGGUUCACUCAGUGCUCAAUGGUGCCCAGGCUGGAGUGCAGUGGCGUGAUCUCGGCUCGCUACAACCUCCACCUCCCAGCCGCCUGCCUUGGCCUCCCAAAGUGCCCAGAGUGCAGCCUCUGCCCGGCCGCCACCCCGUCUGGGAAGUGAGGGGCGUCUCUGCCUGGCCGCCCAUCGCUAAUCUCAAGUACCCAGGGACACAAACACUGUGGAAGGCCGCAGGAUCCUCUGCCUAGGAAAACCAGAGACCUUUGUUCACUUGUUUAUC